rnacentral:rRNA from 1 species
UAUACAUGCAAGUCGAGGGGUAACAGGAAGUGCUUGCACUUCGCUGACGACCGGCGCACGGGUGAGUACCGCGUAUACAAUCUGCCUCAUACUAGGGAAUAGCCCGAAGAAAUUUGGAUUAAUGCCCUAUAGUAUCUUUUUAAGGCAUCUUAUUAAGAUUAAAGGUUACGGUAUGAGAUGAGUAUGCGUUCUAUUAGCUAGUAGGUGUGGUAACGGCACACCUAGGCUACGAUAGAUAGGGGCCCUGAGAGGGGGAUCCCCCACACUGGUACUGAGACACGGACCAGACUCCUACGGGAGGCAGCAGUAAGGAAUAUUGGACAAUGGGCGAAAGCCCGAUCCAGCCAUGCCGCGUGCAGGAUGACGGCCCUAUGGGUUGUAAACUGCUUUUAUAUAGGAAGAAAAACUUUCUCGUGAGAAAGCUUGACGGUACUAUAAGAAUAAGGAUCGGCUAACUCCGUGCCAGCAGCCGCGGUAAUACGGAGGAUCCAAGCGUUAUCCGGAAUCAUUGGGUUUAAAGGGUCCGUAGGUGGACAAAUAAGUCAGAGGUGAAAUCCUGCAGCUCAACUGUAGAACUGCCUUUGAUACUGUUUGUCUUGAGUUAUUAUGAAGUGGUUAGAAUGUGUAGUGUAGCGGUGAAAUGCAUAGAUAUUACACAGGAUACCGAUUGCGAAGGCAGAUCACUAAUAAUUAACUGACACUGAGGGACCAAAGCGUGGGUAGCGAACAGGAUUAGAUACCCUGGUAGUCCACGCCGUAAACGAUGGUCACUAGCUGUUUGGACUUCGGUCUGAGUGGCUAAGCGAAAGUGAUA